UACGGGGGGAGCAAGCGUUGUUCGGAAUCACUGGGCGUAAAGAGCGUGUAGGCGGUCUGGUAGGUCCGUUGUGAAAACUCGAGGCUCAACCUCGAGACGCCGAUGGAAACCCUCAGACUAGAGUCCGGAAGAGGAGAGUGGAAUUCCUGGUGUAGCGGUGAAAUGCGCAGAUAUCAGGAAGAACACCCGUGGCUAAGGCGGCUCUCUAGUACGUGACUGACGCUGAGACGCGAAAGCGUGGGGAGCGAACAGG
rnacentral:rRNA from 1 species